rnacentral:rRNA from 1 species
AACGAACGCUGGCGGCAUGCCUAACACAUGCAAGUCGAACGAGACCUUCGGGUCUAGUGGCGCACGGGUGCGUAACGCGUGGGAACCUGCCCUUAGGUUCGGAAGAACUCCCCGAAAGGGGUGCUAAUACCGGAUAAUGUCUUCGGACCAAAGAUUUAUCGCCUUUGGAUGGGCCCGCGUUGGAUUAGCUAGUUGGUAGGGUAAAAGCCUACCAAGGCGACGAUCCAUAGCUGGUCUGAGAGCAUGAUCAGCCACACUGGGACUGAGACACGGCCCAGACUCAUACGGGAGGCAGCAGUGGGGAAUAUUGGACAAUGGGCGAAAGACUGAUCCAGCAAUGCCGCGUGAGUGAUGAAGGCCUUAGGGUUGUAAAGCUCUUUUACCCGGGAUGAUAAUGACAGUACCGGGAGAAUAAGCUCCGGCUAACUCCGUG